rnacentral:siRNA from 1 species
AUAAACUGUAUGACCUCGUGUGCC